rnacentral:rRNA from 1 species
UGGGGAAUAUUGCACAAUGGGCGAAAGCCUGAUGCAGCAACGCCGCGUGAGUGAUGAAGGCCUUCGGGUUGUAAAGCUCUGUCUUCUGGGACGAUAAUGACGGUACCAGAGGAGGAAGCCACGGCUAACUACGUGCCAGCAGCCGCGGUAAUACGUAGGUGGCAAGCGUUGUCCGGAUUUACUGGGCGUAAAGGAUGCGUAGGCGGAUAUUUAAGUGGGAUGUGAAAUACCCGGGCUCAACCUGGGUGCUGCAUUCCAAACUGGAUAUCUGGAGUGCGGGAGAGGAAAGUGGAAUUCCUAGUGUAGCGGUGAAAUGCGUAGAGAUUAGGAAGAACACCAGUGGCGAAGGCGACUUUCUGGACCGUAACUGACGCUGAGGCAUGAAAGCGUGGGGAGCAAACA